AACAAGUUUAUUAAUUUGUAUUAUUUGUUUAAUAUUCAAAACACAAUAUUACUUAUAAUAAAUUAAUUAUGAUUAUAAUGGAGUUAGUUUUUAAAAUCAAAUAAAAUAUUAUUUUAAUGAAUUAGGUAUCUCAAAAAAUGUAUCUUAUGAUUUCACAUUUGAUUCCAGUCUUUAAAAUAUAUCAAAAGGAUAACCUACAAAGAUAGCAAAAAUAUAUUGGCAAAUGUUUAUACAUUUUAGAAAUAUGAGAUUCUAUUUUUUAAAUUGACCAUAUAUAAAUUAGAAGUCACUAUAAACCAUAAAAUGAUUGGUAUUACUAUGCUUUAAAAGUAACUUAAAUUUGACUAGGUAAAUGGCUAA